UGGUUGCUAGCUCAGUGGUUAAGGCAUCAGGACUACUGAUUGGAAGGUCAUGAGUUCAAAUCCCAGCACUGCUAU